rnacentral:rRNA from 1 species
UGGGGAAUUUUGCGCAAUGGGGGAAACCCUGACGCAGCAACGCCGCGUGGAGGAUGAAGUCCUUCGGGACGUAAACUCCUUUCGAUCGGGACGAUUAUGACGGUACCGGAAGAAGAAGCCCCGGCUAACUUCGUGCCAGCAGCCGCGGUAAUACGAGGGGGGCGAGCGUUGUUCGGAAUUAUUGGGCGUAAAGGGUGCGUAGGCGGUUUUGUAAGUCUUAUGUGAAAUCUAUGGGCUCAACUCAUAGACUGCAUGAGAAACUGCAGGGCUCGAGUGUGGGAGAGGUGAGUGGAAUUCCUGGUGUAGCGGUGAAAUGCGUAGAUAUCAGGAGGAACACCUGUGGCGAAAGCGGCUCACUGGACCAUAACUGACGCUGAUGCACGAAAGCUAGGGGAGCAAACAGGAUUAGAUACCCUGGUAGUCCUAGCCCUAAACCAUGAUUGCUUGGUGUGACGGGUACCCAAUCCCGCCGUGCCGUAGCUAACGCGUUAAGCAAUCCGCCUGGGGAGUACGGUCGCAAGGCUG